UUUCUACACUUUAACUCCCCCCCCUCACUUGGUCUUCAAUCCUCUCUGCUUGUCUUCUGCUUAGUCUAUUUGUUUUUAGAUUCAGGGCUUUUUCCUCCUUUCUAUAUUUUCAUUUCCAAUUUACAAACUGUGUUUUCCACUUCUAGUUUUUCCACAAAUUCUCUAAUAAACCCUACUUUCAUCAUGGCUGAGAAAAGAUGUUCCCUAACGAGAGGAAAGAGAAAAGAAGAAUUGUCCACUGAAAAGACCAUGGAUGUACAAAAAGUAAAGAAUGAAGAAGGGCAUGCACAGGAUAACGCAGAUGUCCCUUUAUCAGAGGUCGAUUCCUCCAACGGUGCAGUAGCUGGCAGUGAGAAGGCAGGUUUUCAGGUUGAGCCAAUGGAACUACCUGCUUUUGAAAUCAUCAAAGGGGACCGAAUUGAACCUUUUUCCUUCAAGUUCCAGUUCAAGAAUGUGGAAUACUCCUCGGGACGCAACAAGACCUUGUUGUGUUACCUUGUAGAUAAAGGGAACACAACUGAUGGGCUGAUGAGGGGCUAUCUGGAGGAUGAGCAUACGGGGUCUCAUGCUGAGGAGGCUUUCUUCAUACAGUGCCUUCCAAACUAUGACCCUUCAGUCAGAUACACAGUCACCUGGUAUGUGUCUUCCAGCCCAUGCUCUGCUUGUGCAGCAAAAAUAUCUGAAGUGUUGAAGGCCAGGAAAAACAUUAAACUGAGCAUCUUUGCUGCACGGCUGUUUGAGUGGGAGGAAACUGAUAUCCAGGCCGGACUGAAGGCCCUGCACACUGCAGGUUGUAAGCUGAGGGUUAUGAAGCCUCUGGACUUCUCCUAUACUUGGGAUACAUUUGUGGAGAAUGAAGAUGAACCUCUUAACCUAUGGGAGGACUGCAAAGAAAACUAUGAGUACUACCAGGGGAAGCUGGCAGACAUUCUACAGUAACCAUAAUUUCUUUUCGGGGCUGACGCCGCUGAAUGAACCAGGAGUUUCUAUUGGUGGAUCGACUGGGCACUCGGCAUCUGUUCCACCAUUAAACUCUUAACGUGAAGCGACACGGAGGUAAGCAGACUUUGCUGUGGAUUUGGAUUUGGGUAGUUGCUCGUUGUUGUUUUCGUCUCUCCUCCUCCCCUUCCCUGUUUCCCCUUGCAGGCGCACCUGCACUCAAUCACAAUCACCCCCUCUAUAAGAUCUGGCCCGCUCAACAAGCCGGCGCCAGGCUUGGAGGGCUAGACGUAAGCGAGAGGUUGCAAGCGGCGAGUUCACGGUUUGGGCUGUUUUGAGGCACAUAAACAGCGAGAGGAAGGCUGGAACACAAAGUGUAUACUUGUUGGGUGUGGGUGAGUUAAAUCGAGUAGGAAGUGGGGUGGGAUAGUAUCGGCCGACGGCCUGUAUAGGUCCGGUAGCGGUACUAUCUUAUACACCCACAGCCUCUGAUCGAAUUUAAAAACUUAAAUGGAGCUGCUACAUGGGAGACAAGAGGAGGAUUGUAUGGAUUAUAGUGGAAUGGAGGAGAAUGGAAGUGACGAGAGGAGGGAAAGUGAUUGGGAAGAGGUAGGGAAAGUGCGUAGGGAAAAGGAGGUUAGUCGUAAAAGAAAGAAGAAAAAGAUUGUACUAGUUAAAAUGGGACGGAAAGUGAAGAAGAUAAAAGGAAAGCUCCUAAAGCAGGAAUGCUUAAUGUAGUAGUACGACUUGAGGGAGAAGGAGUUAAAAGAAUGGACCCACUUAAGUUAACUAAGAUAAUAAGAGAAAAAGUAGGAGAGGUGACGUAUGCAAGAAUUCAGGGAGAUGGAAAUCUACUUUUAGGAUGUAAUAAUGAAGAGCAAAUGGAAAAAGCAAAGAAGAUGAAGUAGGAAAAAUAAAAAUAGAAAAAGUAGUAAGAGUGGGGGAGAAAAGAAGUUGAGGAAGUAAGGGAGUGAUAUAUGGAAUCCCACUUACUGUGAAUAUGAAAGAGUUGGUGGAGAAUCUGAAAUUGAAGAAUAGAUCAGUCAAAAGUGCAGUAAGAAUGACAAGGGGAAUGGAAACAGUCUGUGUUGAUUGAGUUUGAAACAAAGGAUGUACCAAAAGAGGUACACUGUGGAUUUAUGAGAUACAGCAUAAGGGAGUAUGUGCCUAAACCAUUGAGAUGCUAUAACUGUCAAGAAUUUGGGCACAUGGCUAAUGUCUGUAAAGGAAAGAGAAGGUGUGCUAGAUGCACUGGGGAUCAUGAAUAUGGAAAGUGUGGAGAAGUAAGACCAAAGUGUUGUAACUGUGGAGGGGAGCAUAGUGUGGCAUUUUGGGGAUGUGAAGUGAUAAAAAAGAAGUAAAAGUACAACAGAUAAAACACAAGGAAACAUUUCUUAUGCUGAAGCUGUGACUGGAAAAGGAAAAGAAGAAUCAGAGCGAAGAAGUUGGAAAAAGGGUAGUACGAGAAGAUCAUCAAGAAAAGGAGAAAUGGGAAGAGAAGAAGAAAAUAGUGACAUUCAUAGCAGGGGUGAUAAAUGCUACGACUGAAGUUAAGUCUAAAACUGAAAGAAUUCAGAUUAUUGUUAAAGCAGCAAUACACCAUUUAGAUAUGGCCUAAUUUGGAGUUUAUAAUAUAUGAAUACAUAUCAGUUAGACAAGACAGGGAAAAUGGUGGUGGAGGGGGAUGUAUUACAUUUAUAAGGCAAGGGAUUCCGUAUAGGGUGUUAGGUAUAGGUAAGGAGCAAGAAUAUGUAGUAGUAGGAACGUGGGGGGAUUUAUUAGUGUGUCACGAAAGUAUGAUUGAUGUAAUGACCUUUUCACAAUAUUUUAUAUCUAUAUUGUGUGAUAGUAAAUCAAGUUUCAGUAUUGUGAUUUACAUUUUUUAUUUUCCUAUAAGUAAAUGGUUAUACUGUACACAUGACAUCUGGGGUGUAACGCUCAAUCCUGGGAGAAGGUUUUCAGUCUUUUCUUCUCUUAACAGAUUUCUUCCUAUUUUCCCCCAUUUUGGAGGGUUUUUGUAGGGAGUUUUUGUUCUGUGACAGGCCGAGCUUUGUGAGCGAUGUCCGGAUGUACAUGUUCAUCAUAUUUGAUGUGGUAAAUAUCAGAUGGUAAAUGUUUUAGAGUAGGCAUCCUAAAUUGAUGCUUAGUGUGUGUUUAUUAUGUAAUCAAAAGAGUGGAAUGUAAUGGCAAAAAUAUAUGUAACUCUGCUUACAUAUGCUUCAUUGCAAGUGCUGAGAUAGCAAAGGCCAUGGUAUAAGAGCUGAAGUGUUCCACACUGAUAAAUGUCCCCAGCGGCCUAGCUGUAGAGACUAAACAAAGUAGGUCAUAUGUGUAUAACCAGAUUUGUUUUCAAGUGUUGGGAGGGUGAGGCCAUGGUCAAAGAAUGUCUUACAUGGAUUAGAUGUCCCCAGUAUCCUGGCUGUAGAUACUCAACAAGGUGGUCAAGGUUUCUGUUGACGCCACCGAUAACUGAACUUAGGUAUAAGAACUGCCUCGUUCUGUUAGGGGGCAAGGAGGUUCAUGACAGUCUGCAGAGCACGUAGCUGUUGUGACCUUUCUUCCCUUGCAAGGAAAUAAACGGAGAAAGACAUAUUUGACUCAGAGCCUUUGUUUCUUACUUUAUGAUUGUCUGCGCAAAAUCUUCCACCACAGUAGACAUUAAGUACAGAGUUCUAACUUGAAUAGUACAUGUCUGCACUUUAAAGAAAGAAUGAACUAGGUCACGGGUAAAAUAGGUUUCCUCAGGGUGGUUGGUGUUGACCUUAGUGAUGGGGUGAGAAACUCUGCCAUCCCUGAGGAGUUUGGUGCAGAGCCACUGCUCCAUUGUGUUGAAAGGAGCCAGUUAACGUGGUUUAAGCAUCUGGUAAGUAUGCCCGCUGGGCGCCUCCCUAGCGCGGUCUCCCCCAGUCAGAGCUGGUAGAUAUGGCGGGGAAAGGGAAGUUUUGGGCCCCCUGCAGGAACUGUUACCCCCACGAUCCGACCCGGAUAAGCAGUUAAUGAUGAAUGAAUAAAUGGAUGAAUGAAUGUCUGCACAUUUAAUUCAACAUGUGCAGUAAGAUUUUGAUGAGUAAGUAUGGUGAUCAAAAUGAAAGUGUAACAAGGUGGUUUAAUAAGUAACUGUGGAAGAAGGGCAUAAUGACUCUCUGUGUCUUUCCGGAAAGAGCUGGGUUUAUUUGAGUAUGCGCUGCUCCAAUAAAUCUCUUUGAAUUUAAGGAUCUGGAUCUGUUGUGUACGUGUGUUACUGAGAAUUCCUGGUCGGUGAGAGUGUGUGGCGCCUCACCAAGAGUCAGAUAGAUGAAGUAAGUUUGAAAAUAUUUAAAGUUUUAAAAUCCACCCCAACUUUCCUUCUCAUAUUUUUUCUGGCAGAGAUCAUGAGGUUUCCAGUAACCUACGUGUUGCACACACAUUCUGGCCUUCGGCCAAAUCUACCUGCCAAACAAGUAUGUUGACCUAGUAGGAGGAGAUCAGAGCUCCGUUCACCGUACUAAGGUGUGGGUGUGUUUGCACACAAUGUAUACCUUUUUUUAGUACUGUGCUUAAUUAAUAGAUUAAACUAUUGCAGUAAAUGAUUGUCAAGUGUGUUGGGAGUGCUCUCAAUUUAGUUGGAUUAGCAAUGACGGAAAUAAAAUAUCUAAUGUACAACUGCUGUAGUCCUCAAUUUUGAGACCAAGCAUAAUAUAGAUGGCUUCUGUUUGGAUGGCUUCCUUUAACUCUUGUAGGUCCAUAGUUAUUUAUAUUUCCGGUUUAUGUAGUGUUCACAUUGUACAAUUUUGUGUAAACAUGAAUUAACUAGACAGAGAGCUACAAUCAUGGAUGGGAUAGUUUUAUCUUCCAGGCUGUGUCAUCAAAACCCACGGGGGACAUCACAUUUCUGGGACCUGCAGCGGAGAUUUUACAACUGUGGUUACUACAAUAUGUUGAAUUAUGUUACUUUAAACAUGAAUAAUCAAUAUCCAUGUUACAUGGAAGCAGACCAUAAUCUACCUUUAAGUUGUACUUAGGCUGGUUAGAGAGAGUUCACAAUAUAAUUCCAGUGACACAAUUCUAAAUGAACCAAAGAAAAUGGGCAAACAUUGCAAACAGGCUGGGUGAGAAAGCAACCCUGAGAACUCAUUUGGAAAUAUGGCAAGAAGUGUUUGUUAAUAAAGUGAAAACUUUUUUUCUUGCUUUAUUAACAUUAUGCCCAAUUCCCUGGUCCACGCUAACACAACAUUUUACAUGUUUUUAAAAGAGCAGUUCCACUCAUAGCUGGAUGUCAAACAUCUUUUAAAAGGCACCAACCAAGGUGGUUAACAGGUUUAUUCAUUUCACCCAAAUGGAGCUUUUCUCUUUACCCUCUUUCACCUUCCACCCUACUGUCUUUCAAAUUCCAUGCUGUGACAGUUACUCAGCCGGUACAAUUAAAUAUUGUUGUUCUUUACCGUCCGCCAGGUUCUUUGGGUCAUUUCUUGGAAGAAUUGGACAUCCUCAUGUCUAACUUCCCUGAAAAUGGCCCUCCGCUCAUCCUCCUGUCCGACAGAGAAGUCAUCAGACCUCUUACUUACUUUCUACCUUUGCACUCUUACUCAGUCCCUCUUCUCCUACUCACAAAGCCAGCAAUAACCUUGACUACAUCUUCACCAGAAACUGCUCUACCGCUAACGUCACUAUAACUCCCCUCCACGUCUCUGACCACUUCUUCAGAUGAAGACUCUGGCUCCCAUCCUACUUUUUAAAACUCUACGAACAACCAGUAAACCAGCAUCUAUAGAGUGCAGCUGCCUUGUAUGGCAAUACAGUGUUAAAAGCUUUUUAAGAUAAGACGGUGCCUUACCAGCAAGUGCCUUGUAGGUUAGGACAAGUACCUUUAAUUCUAUUCUUGAUUUAAAAGGGAGCCAGUGCAAAGAAGCUAAUACAUGAGUAGUAUGAUCCCUUUUCAUAGUUCUUGUCAAUACACGUGCUGUAGCAUUCUGAAUGAACUGGAGACUUAAUAGAUUUACAAGAGCAGCCUGAUAAGAAAGAAUUACAAUAGCCCAGACUAGAAGUAACAAACACAUGAACUAGUUUUCAUUUUGAUAUUACGUUCCACGUCCCCAGCGCCAGCGCCAGCAUCUGCCGCCCAGGUCUGUUCCGUCUAGACACUGUCACUGCCACGCUUGUAGCAACGCACCCGACCCCAUCGGUUUCCUCCACAGGUGGUGAGCCCAUUGGGGUAAGAUUCUUGGGAUGCUGUGUCCCUCCUUCUGGCUAUGAUGGACAAUCAAUUGAGGGACAGUGCAAGGAUCAUGACAGACACUAAGCAAAAAUCAAGGUAUUCAUUUAAAUGCUCAAAAGAAAUGAUUCACUGGCACUGCAUGAAUUAAAUUCUGAAGCAAGCUUCUUCUCAAAUGUUUUUUCCAUUAUUUGAGUGUCAAAGCAAACAAUUAAUUUUACUGCCCUUGGUAUCCUCCAUCUUCAGCAAAUUUCCUUUGGACUACUUAUUCCAUUGCUGGCAUCUAGUUCACCAGUGGUGUUUUUUGUAGAAGUGGAUUCACAUUUAUAUUCCUGCACAGAUGACAGAGACUACAAAGCAAGCAGCCACUAUUUACUUUCUAUAUCACUAUCUUACAUUCACAGAUGGAUCCUUGUGCAAGGAAACAUUACAUGGAGUAGUGGAGAUAUGGCGCAAAAGGGAUGAUCUUCUUAUUGACGAGUGGCCUAGAAAGACAUGAACAGCCCAAUAGUUUCUACUUUGCUACAGAACCAUCAGAUAAAAAAAUGUGACAGGCCAGAAUGGUGGCAGCCAUCAGCGCUAAAGGAAGUUCAUAUACAAAAGACUAACCAUUGAGAUGUUAUCAUACUCUGUCAUUUGCAACAGGCCAAACCUGUUGUACACAAAGCUGAAACCAGAAACCAGUAUGCCAGUGUCAGUUGGAACAAGCAGACAAAGUUGUGUAAACCAGAAGAAUCCGCAUAAGUUUUUCUGCUAAAUGUUGCAAAUCCAACUGGUGAAUGGAUAGUUUGUAUUUUUACAGUUACAUGUAUCAUAUAGCUGUCAAAGACAAUUGCUUAAUGUGCUGUCAUUAUAUAAAUAUACAGUCAAACCUAACCUACACAAUCUAUUGACACAGAAUGUCUGUUUUUUUCAUACUUGUUGACCUUUACACAAAUAAAUGACACAUGUAUUUAUGGCUCAAUUGUUCUACUUAAAAUUUGCCAUUGUGCAACACUGGCAUUUUCUGAAACCUUUCCAGUAAAACAGUUUUACAGGGUUUUUUUAAUGGCGCCACAUUGGUGAGUUUAUAAUAUGCAUAAAAAUUAAGCCCUGUUUUCACAAUGGUUGUUCAGAUUUUGGGUUUUAUCCAAAAUCCUUAUAUCCAAAGAGGAAUGGAUGCCGUCCCCCUCUGGCACCUAUUAUUUACAGAGCACCACCUCAACAACCAGCGGCAGAUGUACUACAUGCGACUAUAUACACAUUGUCACUGAUCAGGUUUGGGGAAAGGGGCAGAGAAAACUACAGACAUUGGUUUUGCGCAAAUCAUACGCUCAACAAUGUCAGGAUGUGCCAGAACUUUCUUCAAAUAAAAAAGAGGUCAUUCUUUUUGCGGCCAAGUACCAACAAUUGAAAGUAUGUGCUUAGCUUCAAUGGCUGAUGUUGAAAACCACAAACCAGGCCAGAGAUCUACAUGUAGUUAGAAUUUUCACCAGGAAAAAGGAUCACAUCAAAGAGUUGACUUAAAUCCCGCUGUUGGUUUAUAAUGCACUAAAUUCUAUAGGAAUGAAACACAUUUCUGACCUGCUAUAUACGCACAUACACACGUACCUACCAAGCAUGCACUCACCUCCACCAUUGAAACUACUGACUCCACACCCCACUGUAGGGCCAAAGUCAAAUAAAAUCCCUUUCUGAUUACUUGCUCGCGAUGUCCCCUCUUUGUUGUCAUGGCCCUGCAGCCUGGUUUGGGACAAACCCGGACAGUUUCCUUGUAUGUUAAACAUACUUGGCAAAUAAAUGUUUCUGAUUCUGAUUGCCAUGUUGUUGAAAUGUGCUAUACAAAUAAACUUGCCUCGCCCUCAGACAUUUUACUUUGUCGGAUUCCCACCACAAAUAAAAGUUAAGUGUUGGAGGUGCACUUCUGACACUAGGGGGUCAAAAACUGUGCAGAUGGUACAGAAAGAUACAACAAAUACACCAAUUAGGCGACCCUAAAUUUUUUACCAUCAGUCCCAAAACAGUAUGCAAUUGUCAAAAAUAUGUUUUUAUGAAAAUCAAUCUAUCCAAGGUCGAUGACAUUAAAGUGUAUAAAU